ensembl:lncRNA
GAGAGCCCCAUUGUAAUAUCCUGUAAAAAUAACAUAGGUCAAAUGUAUUUAUCGCUGAGAAAUGAGAUCAGCCCUGUAUGAAAACAAAUCGAAGAGCUUGCAUUUCGCUGGAGAAACUCAAAACUCGUGUCUUUUGGUGCAUUUAUAUAGCAUAAAAUAAUCUGGUCCCUUUAUAUAGAAUGCAUAAUAAAAUAACUUGGCAGAAUGGUGGCAACUCUUUAUUUUGGAGCCAAUCUUAUCAAGUUUAUCAAGGAAUGAUUUAUGUACAACCCACUGCUUCCUUUCACCAUGUAAAAUUUGAUGAGCUUUGACAAUCUCUGUCACAAUCAAGAUACAGAAGUUUUCCAUCAUCCCCCUAACUUUCCUCAAGCCUUUUUCUAAUCCAUCCCUUCCUCCACUUCACCCUAGGCAACCACCAAUUUGUUCUUCUCUUGCCCCAUAUAUACGAUUUGCAUCCUCUAGAAUUUCCUGUUUUUGGACUAUGUGAUGGCUAAUUUUAUUUGUCAACUUGACUAAUCGUGAUGAGUAGUUUGGUUAAACACCAGGCUAGAUAUUGCUGAUAAGGUAUUUUUCAGAUGUGAUUAACACUUAAGUCAGUAGACUUUGAGAAAAGCAGAAGACCCUCCAUAAUAUGGGUGGGCCUCGUCUAAUCAGUUGAAGAUCUUAAGAGCAAAGACUGAGGUUUCCCGGAGAUGAAGGAAUUCUGCUUCCAAACACUAACACAGAAACAUAGAAAUUCUGCUUGAGCUUCCAGACUUUGGACUCAAGACUGCAGCAUGAACUCUCACCUGAGUCUCCAGCCUCCUGGCUUGUCCUACGGAUUUUGGACUUAUCAACCCCUACAAUCGCAUGAGCCAAUUCCUUAAAAUCUCUCUCAUUGGUUUUGUUUCUUUGGAGAACCCUGACUGAUACAGAAAUCUUCCAGUAUUUACUCUCUUAUGUUUCGUUUCCUUUCCUCAGCAUAAUGUCUUUGAGUUUCAUCCCUGCCAUUGAGUGAAUCAGUGGUUCAUGCCUUCAUUGUGUAGACACACCACCUGUCAGUGGACAUUUGGAUUCUUCCCAGUGUUCAGCAACUGUGAAUAAAGCUGCUGUGAACGUUUGUUUGUGAGUCAUUCUGUGGAUAUGUGUUUUUAUUUCUCUCGGAUAAGCACUGUAUGAUCCAGUAAGCCCACUUCUGGGUAUAUAUCCAAAGGAAAUGAAUCCAAGAUAUUGAAAAGAUAUCUGCACUUCUGUCUUUAUUGCAUCAUUAUUCACAAUAGCCAAUCUAUGGGAACAACCUAAGUGUCUGUCAACAGAUGCAUGGAUAAGGAAGACAUGACAUGUAUAUGAUGGAAUAUUAUUCAGCCGUGAGAAGGAAGGACAUUCUGCUAUUUGUGACAAUAUGGAUGGACCUCGAGGGCAUUAUGCUAAGUGAGAUAAAUCAGACAGAGGAAGACAAGUACUGUAUGACCUCACUUAUAUGUGGAAUCUCUGAAAAGCUGAACUUGUGAAAACAGAGAAUUGAAUGGUGGGUUGCAAGGUGCUGGCAGGUUGGGGCAACGGGGAGAUGUUCGUCAAAGGGUACAAACUCACAGUUAUGAGAUGAAUAAGUUCUGGGGAUCUGAUGCACAGCAUGGCGAUUCUAGCCAACAAUACCAUAUUGUAUGCUUGAAAGUUGCAAAGAGACUAGAAUUUAAAUGUUCUCACCACAAAAAAGAAUUAAUAAUCCUGUGACUUGAUGGAGACGUUAACUAAUGUUAUGGUGGUAAUCAUAUUGCAAUAUAUAAAUGUAACAAAUCAAUGCAUAGUACAUUUUAAACUUAAAAAAUACAUGGAUAUAUUUCCAUUCUAGUUGCUAAGUCAUGACUUCAAUCCAAUUGUGUCUAGCCUUUACCCUAAGUCAUCCCACAAUCCAGCUACUAAUGAGUUAAUGGCUGGCACCAGGGGUGGGCCCUAGGAUCUUGUCUGAGGCUCAUAGUCAGUGUCCAUUCUGAUUGGUCUGUGCCUCACCUAGGCCAGGUGUCCCAUGCUUUGGAUAUCAUCUGUGCAGAAAAAUGUUGACAUAAUUGCACCUUGGCUGGGGUCUGGGAAUGUGGACCCUGCCAUGAAGAUUCUUGUGCACGGGGUUUACUGACGGAAGGCAUUUAGCAGAGGAGGAGAGAUGGAAGUGGGGUAGGACAGAGGAAAGAGCUGAGCAAGGAUGUGGUCUCAGCUGGAGUCUAGCCACAGCCUAAUCCCAUGGGGAGCCCUGGAGCCUGAAUAACACCACCGAGUUGAUCUCAGUUUGGGGCAAGGGCUGGGCUUUUGCACCUUCGUGACCACCGGGUAUUGGUUGUGGGCUGAGUCUGAGGGCAUGUUCAGCUAUUGGACUGGAAAGAAAUUCUCUGGGGAAGGAGAAAGAAGCUUGAGUUGUGAGCAGACAUCACUCAUAGAAACUGGAGCAUGGGUACCAGCUGCUAAAGCAUAGAUGGAUAGGGAGGCAUCAACAGUG